AUGCUCCAGGGAGGGCUAAUAGUGCCUAGCACCAGCCCGUACUCAUCGCCAGUGUUGCUUGUGAAGAAGAAAGAUAUGACUUGGCGCAUGUGUGUCGAUUAUCGCCACCUCAACGCGAUAACGGUCAAGAACACUUACCCCUUGCCGGUGAUUGAUGAGCUGCUGGACGAAUUGGCGGGUUCCUACUGGUUUUCCAAACUGGACCUUCGUGCGGGCUACCACCAAAUAUGA
rnacentral:rRNA from 1 species